UUUCUGAGGCUGCAGGGCCAUGGAAGGCUACUGUGAAAAGGCCCUGGAACAUCUCCAUUGGCCAGCAAGAGGAAGAAGAGCCCAGGACACACAGACAGAGAAGAAGUUAUUGCUGUAACAGCUGCUGGCAAGAGAAGAAGAUGACCCUGUGAACUCUGCUCUGUGGCCAGUGAAACUCAAUGGCCAUGCUACAACUCAAGAACUGGUCACAUCCCAUUCUUUGAUUCUCAGAUUACCUUUGGGUUGAUAGUUUCAUCUCAAUGUUAUAUUAAAAAAAUAGAAGUAAGAAGGAAAUAUGUGGUCAUAUUUGAUGGAGGGUAGAGGGGAGUGGCAAGCCGCUGAAAUAUCAGGAAGUUCCUGUAUCAGGGUGGCCUUCUACUCUGGCUGGGAAUUUUGUGUUCACUUACUCUGUGGGCUUCCCUGGUGGCUCAGAGGUUAAAGCGUCUGCCUCCAAUGCAGGAGACCUGGGUUCGAUUCCUGGGUUGGGAAGAUCCCCUGGAGAAGGAAACGGCAGCCCACUCCAGUGUUCUUGCCUGGAGAAUCCCAGGGACGGAGGAGCCUGGUGGGCUACAGUCCACGGGGUCGCAGACUUGGACACGACUGAGCGACUUCGCUUCACUCUGGUUCCUUCUGGCAGCAUCCCGUGGAGAGGCAGGUCAGUGUGUGGAAGCCACAAAGCACCCAGCAGCCGGACCUAGAGAAACAGCCACUUGCCAGCCACCCAGCCGCCUUGACUGCCAUUCACAGGGUGAGCCGGGCUUCUGUGGGAACAGAGAUUUCCAGCAUGGUCGCUGGUACAAAUUUUCAUACUUUUUAAAAAUUUGGUCAAUGGCUAUAUUUCUUAA
rnacentral:tRNA from 1 species